rnacentral:snoRNA from 1 species
GUUUGGGUGAUGACUCAAAAGUUUGUCGGAACCCCCUUCACUCCUUCUAUGAGUGAGAACUGCUGUCUGACAAAC